rfam:Rhizoctonia solani AG-8 WAC10335 unplaced genomic scaffold Scaffold_328, whole genome shotgun sequence.
GCCCUUAUAGCUCAGUGGUAGAGCGCAUCACUAGUAAUGAUGAGGUCCAUCGUUCAAAUCGGUGUGAGGGCA